rnacentral:rRNA from 1 species
AACGAACGCUGGCGGCAGGCUUAACACAUGCAAGUCGAGCGCCCCGCAAGGGGAGCGGCAGACGGGAGAGUAACGCGUGGGAAUCUACCCAUCUCUACGGAAUAACGCAUGGAAACGUGUGCUAAUACCGUAUACGUCCUUCGGGAGAAUGAUUUAUCGGAGAUGGAUGGGCCCGCGUUGGAUUAGCUAGUUGGUGGGGUAAAGGCCUACCAAGGCGACGAUCCAUAGCUGGUCUGAGAGGAUGAUCAGCCACACUGGGACUGAGACACGGCCCAGACUCCUACGGGAGGCAGCAGUGGGGAAUAUUGGACAAUGGGCGCAAGCCUGAUCCAGCCAUGCCGCGUGAGUGAUGAAGGCCCUAGGUUUGUAAAGCUCUUUCACCGGUGAAGAUAAUGACGGUAACCGGAGAAGAAGCCCCGGCUAACUUCGUGCCAGCCGCCGCGGUAACAC